UACAGAGGGGGCAAGCGUUGUUCGGAUUUACUGGGCGUACAGGGAGCGUAGGCGGUUGGAUAAGCCCUCCGUGAAAUCUCCAGGCUUAACCUGGAAAGUGCAGAGGGGACUGUUCAGCUAGAGGAUGGGAGAGGAGCGCGGAAUUCCCGGUGUAGCGGUGAAAUUCGUAGAUAUCGGGAGGAACACCAGUGGCGAAGGCGGCGACCUGGACGGACACUGACGCUGAGACGCGAAAGCGUGGGGAGCAAACAGG
rnacentral:rRNA from 1 species